rnacentral:misc_RNA from 1 species
ACACCUCAACUCUCGUGGUUUGCCAUGAUGAGCUUGGACUUUGGGGGUCUUGCUGGCUCAUGGUCAGCUCCUCUUAAAUGAAUCAGCUUUCCAGUGUUUGGUGGCAUCCCAGGUGUGAUAACUAUCUACGCUUGUGGUGUCCUCCCAGGUAACCUUCAGUGAUGGAGGUCGCUGGAGCUAAUAAAUGCACAUCUCUCAUUGCGGGGAUGGCCUUUUAGAU